rnacentral:lncRNA from 1 species
UCUUCCAGAUGGCGAUUUGGAUCGUUACAUUCACCCUGGCUUCCCUGGUUGCAGUCAGAGCUGGAUUCGACCAACCCACAGACAGACUGACUUUUCUGACUGGCCUUUAUGGCAAGCCCUGCCAGUAAUGUAGGGGCAAUCAUAAUGGGCCCUUGACACUCUCUGGUGAAUCCUCAUAUACAGUGGACUGUGGCAACCAGAUCGCUACUCUACAGUGGAGUGCUUCACCUACGGGCAGGGCACAGGGAUGGUGGGUCUGAAGAGAUAAACCAAAGCCCAUCCCUCUGGGACCCAAUGGCACCCUCCCUGCCAAAUGUAAUUUUGUUUCCCAAAUGCAUUCUGGUUGUUACAAUCUGAUCACAACCUGCUUUUAUAAGGGCCACAAGUAUUUUACUGCCAUUCCCUAUAAACAGUCAACAGGCUCCUUCGGGGGGGAUUGGACCUCCAAGGUCUGUGUCAUUGGCUGUAAGUCCAAUAAAUAUGCAGGCUCCUCCUGCCUAGCCCCGGUGGGUGAACAAGCCUGCUGGCCCUGUGGUGCUCCUAUUCAUCUUUCAGAUGGCGGAGGCCCAACAGACAUGGUUAGAGAAGAAAGGGUUCAGCUGACCACUCAACACCAGUCACAGAUUGAUUCUGCCUUGAACAAAACAGUUGCAGUCCACUACCAUUGACUAGACAUCGAAGACUCAGCUGAAGACCUCUCAUCUGACAACGCAGAGAGGGCAGCCAUUGGCCUUUAGUUCUCCACCCUUGCUGCAGAAACGGAGCCUUCUUGGUACCAUAAGCUGUGGAAAUGACAAUGAUGGAUGGGGUGACCUCCAGAUCUUAUAGUGGCUGAGGGCCAUAAGCUGUGGAGUUAACAAUGACGGGAUCUUGUGGUGCCACAAGCCAGAUGCACACUGCCUAUCGGCUGCAAGGUUACCCAAUGACGGGAUUAUUGUGAGUCCACUGCCUGGGUGCCCACCACGACUACCAGUGGCCUGAUCAAAUCAUUGGAAUAAGACGUAGUGCCAGGAGUGGGGUCAGCUCACAUUGCCUAAGACAGGGGCCUUGCCCACCUAGGACAUGAAAAGGCCUAGCUAUCGCGGUAAUUGGACGUGAACCCCGAAAAAAAGGCCUAAGACAGGUGCUUCACCAACCCGCUUUUCGUGGCCACUCCCCAACUUUAAUAAAGAAAAAAGGGGGAUUUUUCACCAGAGACUAUGAAAGCCAGAAGAGCCUGGAC